UAUAUAUGAGGGAGGCUGCACCUUGCAGUGUAUCCCAUUACAAUAUCUCUUUCUCUCUCUCUUAGUCUUUUCUCUUUACACGCACUACUGAAUAUAGUGCCUGGUUGCCAGCCCUACGGCCUACACCAUGGAAGCUUAUUUUGAACUUGCUAUUACCUCAAAUUCAUUAUGUUCAUAGAAAAUGUGAACCAUCAAGAAUUAAGGGUCCGUUUGGUUUCUAUUUUCUUUUUCUGUCUGCAAAACUGUUACCUAAUUUUCAUUUUAUUUCAUGUUUUUAGUGUUUUGCAUAGGAAAAUGAAUACAUGAAAAUAGAAAAUGAUUACACAGUUUUAGUUUUGUAAUUAAAACUGAAAAUGAAAAUAGAAACCAAAUAGGCCCUAGCUUUUCAAGCGUUUUUUGAUUUCAGAAAUCGGUGCAUUGUAUUUUGCUCCUAACUAUAGAUGGUCUUUCAAGAAAUUGUGUAUUGAAAUUGCUAUCUUAUGCUUUGAUGCAAGGUAGAAACAAAUGCUGUGGGAGCUUUCAGAAACAUCAGUUUCUUUUGAUUUAGACAGAUGUGCCAAGGAUAUCAGGAUAUCAGAAUGGACUGAAGCUACAAAUAAAGAAAACAAACAAGAAGUUUUUGGGCAACUGAUGGUGCUUGCUUAGUGGAAAGAACAAUGACAAGGUAUUCAGAAUUCAGAAACAUUGUAACUGAAAAAGGUUUAGGCAUUUUACCUUAUGUUUCCUUUAACUUUAUUGAGAUCUGCACCCUUCUUAGAGUUUGUUAGGUGCCCUUUACUUCUGGUCCACUGAGUCAUAUGAUUACUUAAUGGAGCUAAUUUGUUUGUAUUGUCUAUUUUAGGCUUUUUUUGGCACGUUUGGAGGUGGGAUAUUCUACACCCUUUACAAGUAGACACUAACGGCUUCCUAUUAUGUGCUUGGAGUUAGAGUAACUCCACCUUGGGUUGUUUUUAUUGAAAUAGUGUUUGAUAACACGUGUUGCUUUUCCUAUUGUGUAUUGAAGGGUAGCUCAUUUUUUCCAUGUCAAAGCACUGGUUGCUUUAAGCACAUGCUGAUAUUCCUUAUAUGUGGGCCUCAAUUUUCUGUGAGUAUUUAAACAUUGUCUUUUGUGAUGUAUUAUAGCAUGAAGAGUGCUAGCAAAACACAUCUGUGAUGAUGCCUUCCUUUAGGUAGCCUUACAAUUGUUCAGUAAAUGUGUCGGUUUUGUUCCAUCCAGCUAAUUGUCCUCGCUUUGGUUGUCUCGGUUGGCAAACAUGGUGUCCACUUAGCUGUGGAACCUUUGGACUGUCCAGCGCAAUGUUGAGCCUUGUUGCCGUUUGGGUCGACUAGAACAUUGUUUAGUGAGAUUCCCACAACUACUGCCUAUUGAAGCCCUAAACAUGGCGGGACUAAUUAUUGGUGACAAAAACUUUCGAUUUUAGAUCUCCCAUAUUUCUCUCUUUA